UUACAGCCAUAUCACGUUGAAACACCGCUUCCCGUAAGAUGGCCGAGGUUAAGCAACGUCGAUCCUAGUCAAUACCUAGAUGGGUGACCGCUUGGGAAUACCAGGUGCUA